rnacentral:tRNA from 1 species
GGCUGGAGCUCAGUGGUAGAGCGCUCGCCUGGCAUGUGUGAAGCACUGGGUUCAAUCCUCAGGAUCAGGUA